AGUGAACGCUGGCGGUAGGCCUAACACAUGCAAGUCGAACGGCAGCACAGUAAGAGCUCGCUCUUACGGGUGGCGAGUGGCGGACGGGUGAGGAAUACAUCGGAAUCUACUUUUUCGUGGAGGAUAACGUAGGGAAACUUACGCUAAUACCGCAUACGACCUACGGGUGAAAGCAGGGGAUCUUCGGACCUUGCGCGAUUGAAUGAGCCGAUGUCGGAUUAGCUAGUUGGCGGGGUAAAGGCCCACCAAGGCGACGAUCCGUAGCUGGUCUGAGAGGAUGAUCAGCCACACUGGAACUGAGACACGGUCCAGACUCCUACGGGAGGCAGCAGUGGGGAAUAUUGGACAAUGGGCGCAAGCCUGAUCCAGCCAUACCGCGUGGGUGAAGAAGGCCUUCGGGUUGUAAAGCCCUUUUGUUGGGAAAGAAAAGCAGCAGGUUAAUACCCCGCUGUUCUGACGGUACCCAAAGAAUAAGCACCGGCUAACUUCGUG
rnacentral:rRNA from 1 species